rnacentral:lncRNA from 1 species
GAAAAGAAAAGAAAGAAGAGGUGCUGCGGAAAAAAAGAGAAAAAGAGAGAAAGAGAAGAGAAAAAUCAGGUAUUUUUUUAAAAAUAUUUGAUUAUGUUAUUGUUAUUGUUUUGUAUAAUUUGUAUUUUUUUUUUGUUUUAGUUUAGUUAUUAAGAUUAAAAUCAAUAAAACUCAAAUUAAUAGUUUUAGUUAGGGUUUUA